GACGAACGCUGGCGGCGUGCUUAACACAUGCAAGUCGAACGGUGAUGCUCCAGCUUGCUGGAGUGGAUCAGUGGCGAACGGGUGAGUAACACGUGAGCAACCUGCCCCAGACUCUGGAAUAAGCGCUGGAAACGGCGUCUAAUACUGGAUACGAAACUGGCCCGCAUGGGCAUGGUUUGGAAAGUUUUUCGGUUUGGGAUGGGCUCGCGGCCUAUCAGCUUGUUGGUGAGGUAAUGGCUCACCAAGGCGACGACGGGUAGCCGGCCUGAGAGGGCGACCGGCCACACUGGGAUUGAGACACGGCCCAGACUCCUACGGGAGGCAGCAGUGGGGAAUAUUGCACAAUGGGCGAAAGCCUGAUGCAGCGACGCCGCGUGAGGGAUGACGGCCUUCGGGUUGUAAACCUCUUUCAGCAGGGAAGAAGCGAAAGUGACGGUACCUGCAGAAGAAGCACCGGCUAACUACGU
rnacentral:rRNA from 1 species